GAUUUCUGGUCUAGUGCGCCUGGCCCACUGCCGUCAGGUUUGUGAGUGCCGGUGCGCGCUUGCCAUCCUUUCUAGUCAGCAGCUCUGUCCUUUACUGGUCGGAGCUGUGGGCUAGAUCUAUUACUUUGAAAAAAUUAGAGUGUUUCAAGCAGGCUUUAUGCUAUGAAUACAUUAGCAUGGAAUAAUAAUUUAGGACUUCGGUUCUAUUUUGUUGGUUUCUAGGACUGAAGUAAUGAUUGAUAGGGAUAGUUGGGGGUGCUAGUAUUCAGCGGCCAGAGGUGAAAUUCUCGGAUUCGCUGAAGACUAACUUAUGCGAAAGCAUU
rnacentral:rRNA from 1 species